rnacentral:tRNA from 1 species
UUUUAUAUAGUUUAAUAAUUAAAACAUUACAUUUUCAUUGUAAAAAUAAAAAAAUAUUUUUUAUAAAAA